rnacentral:rRNA from 1 species
GACGAACGCUGGCGGCGUGCUUAACACAUGCAAGUCGAGCGGUAAGGCCCUUUCGGGGGUACACGAGCGGCGAACGGGUGAGUAACACGUGGGUGACCUGCCCUCAGCUCUGGGAUAAGCCUGGGAAACCGGGUCUAAUACUGGAUAUGACUCCAUGACGCAUGUUGGUGGGGUGGAAAGCCUUGUGCGGCUGAGGAUGGGCCCGCGGCCUAUCAGCUUGUUGGUGGGGUGAGGCCUACCAAGGCGACGACGGGUAGCCGGCCUGAGAGGGCGACCGGCCACACUGGGACUGAGACACGGCCCAGACUCCUACGGGAGGCAGCAGUGGGGAAUCUUGCGCAAUGGGCGAAAGCCUGACGCAGCGACGCCGCGUGA